GUGAAAGUAAACUAAAGAAGUUGUCUGGUUCAUGCCCAGAAUAUGAAAUUAAUUUUUCCUGUCACA
rnacentral:tRNA from 2 species